GACGAACGCUGGCGGCGUGCUUAACACAUGCAAGUCGAACGGAAAGGCCCUGCUUUUGUGGGGUGCUCGAGUGGCGAACGGGUGAGUAACACGUGAGUAACCUGCCCUUGACUUUGGGAUAACUUCAGGAAACUGGGGCUAAUACCGGAUAGGAGCUCCUGCUGCAUGGUGGGGGUUGGAAAGUUUCGGCGGUUGGGGAUGGACUCGCGGCUUAUCAGCUUGUUGGUGGGGUAGUGGCUUACCAAGGCUUUGACGGGUAGCCGGCCUGAGAGGGUGACCGGCCACAUUGGGACUGAGAUACGGCCCAGACUCCUACGGGAGGCAGCGGUGGGGAAGAGUGCACAAUGGGCGGAAGCCUGAUGCAGCAACGCCGCGUGCGGGAUGACGGCCUUCGGGUUGUAAACCGCUUUCGCCUGUGAUGAAGCGUGAGUGACGGUAAUGGGUAAAGAAGCACCGGCUAACUACGUG
rnacentral:rRNA from 1 species